UUUGAGUUUGAUCCUGGCUCAGGACGAACGCUGGCGGCGUGCUUAACACAUGCAAGUCGAACGAUGAAGAGGAGCUUGCUCCUUGGAUUAGUGGCGAACGGGUGAGUAACACGUGAGCAAUCUGCCCUUGACUCUGGGAUAAGCGUUGGAAACGACGUCUAAUACCGGAUACGACCCUCGGAGGCAUCUCCUGGGGGUGGAAAGAAUUUUGGUCAAGGAUGAGCUCGCGGCCUAUCAGCUUGUUGGUGAGGUAAUGGCUCACCAAGGCGACGACGGGUAGCCGGCCUGAGAGGGUGACCGGCCACACUGGGACUGAGACACGGCCCAGACUCCUACGGGAGGCAGCAGUGGGGAAUAUUGCACAAUGGGCGAAAGCCUGAUGCAGCAACGCCGCGUGAGGGACGACGGCCUUCGGGUUGUAAACCUCUUUUAGUAGGGAAGAAGCGAAAGUGACGGUACCUGCAGAAAAAGCACCGGCUAACUACGUGCCAGCAGCCGCGGUAAUACGUAGGGUGCAAGCGUUGUCCGGAAUUAUUGGGCGUAAAGAGCUCGUAGGCGGUUUGUCGCGUCUGCUGUGAAAACCCGAGGCUCAACCUCGGGCCUGCAGUGGGUACGGGCAGACUAGAGUGCGGUAGGGGAGAUUGGAAUUCCUGGUGUAGCGGUGGAAUGCGCAGAUAUCAGGAGGAACACCGAUGGCGAAGGCAGAUCUCUGGGCCGUAACUGACGCUGAGGAGCGAAAGCAUGGGGAGCGAACAGGAUUAGAUACCCUGGUAGUCCAUGCCGUAAACGUUGGGAACUAGAUGUGGGGACCAUUCCACGGUCUCCGUGUCGCAGCUAACGCAUUAAGUUCCCCGCCUGGGGAGUACGGCCGCAAGGCUAAAACUCAAAGGAAUUGACGGGGGCCCGCACAAGCGGCGGAGCAUGCGGAUUAAUUCGAUGCAAC
rnacentral:rRNA from 1 species